AUGAUUGAAACACUUGUAACUACUGAAGCUCAGGAACUGCUGUACCAGCUCACAGCCCUGUUGGAACAGGAGUUAAGAUGUCAGCCAAAGGCCUCUGGCCUGAGGCUGAUUGAAUCUGCUCAUGAUAAUGGCCUCCGAAUGACUGCAAGGCUGCGAGACUUUGAAGUGAAAGAUCUCCUCAGCUUAACGCAGUUCUUUGGCUUCCAUACAGAGACGUUUUCACUAGCUGUGAAUUUCUUAGAUAGAUUCUUGUCAAAAAUGAAGGUACAGCCUAAACAUUUGGGCUGUGUUGGACUCAGCUGCUUCUACUUGGCUGUGAAGGCAUCAGAAGAAGAGAGAAAUGUUCCCUUGGCCACUGACUUAAUUCGAAUAAGCCAGUAUAGGUUCACUGUUUCUGAUAUGAUGAGGAUGGAGAAAAUCGUAUUGGAGAAGCUGUCUUGGAAAGUCAAAGCUACGACAGCCUUCCAAUUUCUACAACUAUAUCAUUCACUCAUUCAUGAGAAUUUAAGCUGUGAAAGGAGAAAAUACCUUAAUUUUGAGAGACUUGAGACCCAGCUUAAGGCAUGUCACUGCAGAAUCAUGUUUUCUAAAGCCAAGCCUUCUGUCUUGGCACUGUCUAUUAUGGCACUAGAAAUAGAAGAACAAAAACUAAUGGAGUUGACAGAGGCAUUGGAAUUUCUGCAGUUGCAUUCCAAGAUAAACAACAGAGAUUUGACCUUCUGGAAGGAACUGGUGUUAAAGUGCCUUACAGAAUAUUCUUCGAGCAAGUGUUCCAAACCAAAUGUCCAGAAAUUAAAAUGGAUUGUGUCUGGACGUACAGCACGACAGCUUAAACAUAGCUACUACAGAAUAACACACCUUCCUACAAUUCCAGAGACCAGCUCAUAAUAGGUAACCUCUUGAAGACAUGUAACAUAAACAUAGUAGGCCUGUCAUAGAGGCUGGUCUGUUCUCGUGUUCAUGCUUGAGCCAGUGCUGUACCUAAAGAAGUGGCAACCUAAUAUAUGAACAUUGGAGAAAGAACUGAUCCUCUGGUGUGCUGUGGGAGCAGAAAUGUGUGCUACAGACAUUGGGACCUCAUUCAAACUAAAAUGUGGAGUAAAACUGGAGUACAAUAAAAUGAGGAGAGAACCAUCCUGUGACCUUGUCAACAGACGCAUGAAUAUUUGAGAAACAAAGUCUGAAACACGAUCUUAAUAAUGAAGAACUCAACUCAUGGAAAGAGCAUGUAACAUUUCAGACUAAAGAUCCUUCCAGCAAAUAUGUUCUUUUCAUGAUGAUUACAACAACGCUCAGUGUCAGUUUUCAGUCUUAUUUGUUAGACUGUUUACUGUUCAGUGAAAUAUCACAAUACCGAUACAAGGAAUUUUAACACCUUAUAGUUUGUAGAGCAGCUUGUGUAGUCUAAUCUUGGUAUAUUAUAAGUGCAGGUGCUGAAUCAUGUAUUUAAUUUUAAAAAUCUGGUUCACUUUCCAAAGAUUACAUGACGCUAGGAAAACGUGCAGCAGCACAGUGCUGCAGUGUCUCAAUCAAACAAGACUAAUCCCGCUCAUUAUUAAUGACAAUAGCAAAUGCCUGUCAGUCCACCUGACGUGCUGUUUAGGCCAUGUCAUGUGUCCACAUGUUCCUGCUGGGCAGGGCACUGGCCUUCUACCAUAGACACACAUUAAAAACUAGGCUAUGCGGUACCCACUGAACAUGUCAAGUAGCUAGAGCAGGAGAAAAGAGAAACUUUAUUUCAUUGCCUUGUAAAAGGUAGUCACUAAUACAGCAUCAGUAACUUCAGGAUUUUGUAAGAGGUGUAGUUUACUGAGAUUACAAGUUACUUCAUAGAGUGCAAAAACUUCAUGCUACCUAAUGAAGGCUGAGGGAAAGUACUGGGUCACCUGCCCCAAAUCUGACACCAGUUUUCCAAAGUUUCGCUGUACAAGAGGUAAAUGCUGAUGCUGAACAGGUGCAUUUUUACAGGCACAGUAGGAGCGGGGCUAAUGCCCCAUCUUGGCCUGUAUGUGGGAGCAAUCUAGUUCAGAAACACUGAAGAUUGCUUCAACUCUGAUCUCUUUAAUGUUAAGCAUCGUAAAAUACAACUGUUUUUUCUGAAGACCGGGUCAGUACUUGAGGCAUAUCAAGCUUCUGGUGCUAACAAGGAAGUGAAUAAUAAGAAUGUGUAUUAUUGUACGUAAGAUGAAGGGAGAUGUUCGGGGAAUGUUGCUAAUGACGUCUUGAAUUCUGCGUCACUGUGGAGCAGAGGUUGUUAGCGAUAGGCUGUUAAUAACUGAUUGCCAUAUGAACUGACUUAGUGGAGAAGGAGAGAUCAGAAUGUUCUGAACAUAGUGUGGGCUUAGAUGUUAGCCAACCAACCCUUUCCCCUUUAUGGUAAUAGCCGAGGGGGAAACCAUUCUUUGCAUAUCUCAAACUAGUUAAACUUUUCACAGAAGACUUCAGACCAAAGCUUUGUACUGGAUGAAUCAAGCCUUCUCGUGAACUCAUUUGAGCGAUUGCACUGCAUAACAUGUAAUUGGGUUUUUGCAUCUGCCAGUGCUAUCUAUCUGUGCGUUGUACUGGCCUCUGAAAAGCAUGCAAGUGAUUUGGACAACGGUGUGGUCAGCCUACUGGGAUAUGGGGAGAAGAUGCAAUGUGCAAGUCUAAUUGUCAUAUCUCAAUAUUAAGAUAUGUACCUUUCAAUUAAACAUUGAAAUGUGUUCAACUG